UACGUAGGGCGCAAGCGUUGUCCGGAAUUAUUGGGCGUAAAGAGCUUGUAGGCGGUUCGUCGCGUCGUUUGUGAAAACUUGGGGCUCAACCUUAAGCUUGCAGGCGAUACGGGCGGACUAGAGUACUUCAGGGGAGACUGGAAUUCCUGGUGUAGCGGUGAAAUGCGCAGAUAUCAGGAGGAACACCGGUGGCGAAGGCGGGUCUCUGGGAAGUAACUGACGCUGAGAAGCGAAAGCAUGGGUAGCAAACAGG
rnacentral:rRNA from 1 species